AUUUCAUUCAAAUUUCUGCCCUAUCAACUUUCGAUGGUAGGAUAUAGGCCUACCAUGGUUUCAACGGGUAACGGGGAAUUAGGGUUCUAUUCCGGAGAGGGAGCCUGAGAAACGGCUGCCACAUCUAAGGAAGGCAGCAGGCGCGCAAAUUACCCAAUCCCGACCGGGGAGGUAGUGACAAUAAAUACUGAUACAGGGGGCUUUCGCCUCUUGUAAUUGGAAUGAGUACAAUUUAAAUCUCUUAACGAGGAACAAUUGGAGGGCAAGUCUGGUGCCAGCAGCCGCGGUAAUUCCAGCUCCAAUAGCGUAUAUUAAAGUUGUUGCAGUUAAAAAGCUCGUAGUUG
rnacentral:rRNA from 1 species